rnacentral:rRNA from 1 species
AUUGAAAGCUGGCGGCAGGCCUAACACAUGCAAGUCGAACGAGUGGCGGACGGGUGAGUAAUGUCUGGGAAACUGCCCGAUGGAGGGGGAUAACUACUGGAAAAGGUAGCUAAUACCGCAUACCCUCGGAUGUGCCCAGAUGGGGUUGGCUAGUAGGUGGGGGAACGGCUCACCUAGGCGACGGUCCCUAGCUGGUCUGAGAGGAGGACCAGCCACACUGGAACUGAGACACGGUCCAGACUCCUACGGGAGGCAGCAGUGGUGAAUAUUGCACAAUGGGCGCAAGCCUGAUGCAGCCAUGCCGCGUGUAUGAAGAAGGCCUUCGGGUUGUAAAGUACUUUCAGCGAGGAGGCGUUACUCGCAGAAGAAGCACCGGCUAACUCCGUGCCAGCAGCCGCGGUAAUUC